rnacentral:tRNA from 1 species
CCUUCGAUAGCUCAGUUGGUAGAGCGGAGGACUGUAGAUCCUUAGGUUGCUGGUUCAAAUCCGGUGAAGGA